rnacentral:rRNA from 1 species
GGAGGGUGCAAGCGUUGUUCGGAAUUAUUGGGCGUAAGGCGCGUGCAGGCGGUUGCUUAAGUCUGAUGUGAAAGCCCUGGGCUCAACCCGGGAAGUGCAUUGGAAACUGGGCAACUUGAGUACGGGAGAGGAUAGUGGAAUUCCGAGUGUAGGGGUGAAAUCCGUAGAUAUUCGGAGGAACACCGGUGGCGUAAGGCGGCUAUCUGGACCGAUACUGACGCUGAGACGCGAAAGCGUGGGGAGCAAACAGGAUUAGAUACCCUGGUAGUCCACGCCGUAAACGAUGGGUACUAGGUGUUGCGGGUAUUGACCCCUGCAGUGCCGAAGCUAACGCAUUAAGUACCCCGCCUGGGGAGUACGGUCGCAAGACUA